rnacentral:rRNA from 1 species
AUUGAACGCUGGCGGCAUGCCUAACACAUGCAAGUCGAACGAGGGGCGGACGGGUGAGUAGUGUCUGGAAAGCUGCCCAAUGCGGGGGGUUAACUACUGGAAACAGUAGCUAAUACCGCAUACCUUCGGAUGUGCACAGAUGUGAGUAGCUAGUAGGGGGGGUAACGGCUCACAUAGGCGACGAGCCCUAGCUGGUAAGAGAGGCUGACGAGCCAACCGGGAAUGAGGACAGGGGCCGGACUCCUCCGGGAGGCAGCAGUGGGGAAUAUUGGACAAUGGGCGCAAGCCUGAUGCAGCCAUGCCGCGUGUAUGAGGAGGGCCUUCGGGUUGUAAAGUACUUUCAGCGAGGAGGCGGUACCCGCAGAAGAAGCGCCGGCUAACUCCGUGCCAGCAGCCGCGGUAAUAC